rnacentral:rRNA from 1 species
AAAGGAAUUGACGGGGGCCCGCACAAGCGGUGGAGCAUGUGGUUUAAUUCGAUGCAACGCGAAGAACCUUACCUGGCCUUGACAUCCACGGAAUUCGGCAGAGAUGCCUUAGUGCCUUCGGGAACCGUGAGACAGGUGCUGCAUGGCUGUCGUCAGCUCGUGUUGUGAAAUGUUGGGUUAAGUCCCGCAACGAGCGCAACCCUUAUCCUUUGUUGCCAGCGAGUAAUGUCGGGAACUCAAAGGAGACUGCCGGUGACAAACCGGAGGAAGGUGGGGAUGACGUCAAGUCAUCAUGGCCCUUACGGCCAGGGCUACACACGUGCUACAAUGGCGCAUACAAAGAGAAGCGAACUCGCGAGAGCAAGCGGACCUCACAAAGUGCGUCGUAGUCCGGAUCGGAGUCUGCAACUCGACUCCGUGAAGUCGGAAUCGCUAGUAAUCGUAGAUCAGAAUGCUACGGUGAAUACGUUCCCGGGCCUUGUACACACCGCCCGU